rnacentral:rRNA from 1 species
GACGAACGCUGGCGGCGUGCUUAACACAUGCAAGUCGAACGGAAAGGCCCUGCUUUUGUGGGGUGCUCGAGUGGCGAACGGGUGAGUAACACGUGAGUAACCUGCCCUUGACUUUGGGAUAACUUCAGGAAACUGGGGCAAAUACCGGAUAGGAGCUCCUGCUGCCUGGUGGGGGUUGGAAAGUUUCGGCGGUUGGGGAUGGACUCGCGGCUUAUCAGCUUGUUGGUGGGGUAGUGGCUUACCAAGGCUUUGACGGGUAGCGGGCCUGAGAGGGUGACGGGCCACAUUGGGACUGAGCUACGGCCCAGACUCCUACGGGAGGCAGCAGUGGGGAAUAUUGCACAAUGGGCGGAAGCCUGAUGCAGCAACGCCGCGUGCGGGAUGACGGCCUUCGGGUUGUAAACCGCUUUCGCCUGUGACGAAGCGUGAGUGACGGUAAUGGGUAAAGAAGCACCGGCUAACUACGUG